rnacentral:snRNA from 1 species
GGUCACUGAGGGUGAUCUGGCUGCAAUAUCUAUCACCCUGGCUGGUGGGUGAGUGUUCCCUUCAUCCCUUACUAUUCCAUGUAUGUUCCUCCCAAAGCUGCAUGCUCAGUUGAAGAGAACAAUCUUCUCCACUGGUAGAGGAGGAUUGUUCUUCAGUCAAGGGUAUACAAGUAGCUGUGUUCCUCUGCUAGAACCUCCAAACAAGCUCUCAAUGAGCAUUUUUUUAAAAAAAAAUGGCUGCAACCAGCAAGAACAGUGAAAGCUGUGGCACUAGUCACAUCAUUCUU